rnacentral:rRNA from 1 species
UGAGGAAUAUUGGGCAAUGGACGAAAGUCUGACCCAGCGACACCGCGUGAUCGAUGAAGUCUUUCGGGAUGUAAAGAUCUUUUUACUGGGAAGAUUAUGACGGUACCAGUAGAAUAAGGGCUUGCUAACUACGUGCCAGCAGCAGCGGUAAUACGUAGAGCCCGAGCGUUAUCCGGAUUUAUUGGGCGUAAAGAGCUCGUAGGUGGCUUGUUACAUUUCUUAUUAAAUCUCCAGGCUUAACCUGGAAUCGGUGAGAAAAAUGGGCAAGCUAGAGGUCGGCAGGGGUAAGCGGAAUUGGUGGUGUAGCCGUGAAAUGCGUUGAUAUCACCAAGAACACCAACGGCGAAGGCAGCUUACUAGGCCCUCUCUGACACUGAGGAGCGAAAGCGUGGGGAGCGAAAAGG